rnacentral:rRNA from 1 species
GAUGAACGCUCGCUACAGGCUUAACACAUGCAAGUCGAGGGGAAACGAUGAGAGAGCUUGCUCUCUUAGUCGUCGACCGGCGCACGGGUGAGUAACGCGUAUCCAACCUGCCUCUGACCAAGGGAUAACCCGUCGAAAGUCGGACUAAUACCUUAUGCAGUCGUCGGAAGUCAUCUGAUGACGACGAAAGAUUUCAUCGGUGAGAGAUGGGGAUGCGUCUGAUUAGCUUGUUGGCGGGGUAACGGCCCACCAAGGCGACGAUCAGUAGGGGUUCUGAGAGGAAGGUCCCCCACAUUGGAACUGAGACACGGUCCAAACGCCUACGGGAGGCAGCAGUGAGGAAUAUUGGUCAAUGGGCGUAAGCCUGAACCAGCCAAGUAGCGUGCAGGAUGACGGCCCUAUGGGUGGUAAACUGCUUUUAUGCGGGGAUAAAGUGAGGGACGUGUCCUUCAUUGCAGGUACCGCAUGAAUAAGGACCGGCUAAUUCCGUG